rnacentral:tRNA from 1 species
GCCAACGUAGCUCAACUGGUAGAGCGGCUGACUUGUAAUCAGCAGGUUGGGGGUUCGAGUCCCUUCGUUGGCU